UGGACUUCAUGGCCUCCUAUUAUCCAAAUGAUUUGUUUUUCCCAUCCUGGUUGAACUUUCUAGUGAGAGAGUUAAAAACUCCAUCAGGUUCAUACAUGUGUCUGUGCAGCGACGCAGGGGGCAUAACCUAACAAAUGUGUGGGGUCAAUUGGUUUCCCAAGGGGGCGCUAUUGAGGAGCUGGCUGACUAAGUCUCGACCAAGACUGCUGAUGCUCAUCGCCGGCUUAAAGAGGCCUCAAGUCACCCUCAUGAGAAGGAAAAGGAUGAAGCGCACAAAAGUAGCAAAGGCCACGUAAGCGGACCAGCAAUCGGUUGCCACAUUUCAACUGAAUCCUUAAGCUGGAGAUCAACUCCUGUAGAAAUAGAAGAAACUCAAGAUGCAGAGAAACUAAUUUACCAAUCUGUAUCAUCUCGAAGAACUAAAAUCCAUAGCAAACUAAUGCGAGGAUGGAGCAAGGGCAUCACAAAGGUCCAGAUCUCCCGGCUGAGACCUGGACCAAUUUUUAUCCUGUAUCCAGCCAUCUGUAGAUCCCUCCUCUUUAAAAACACAUAUCUGUUAUAGUUAAUUAUGCUAAUUAUGGGUGUGACUGUAUAUUCUUCUGCAUUGUAGUGACAAACUUGGUUAAACAUAAAUGAUCUCUAUCAUUCACUACCUGUCAGAAUUAUUGAUUUGUUCUGAUUGUGUGAAUUUAUAGAUAAGAAAAGAUUUAUUAUGCAAGACAGAUAUAGUGCAUUGCACAAAUAUUAAGCACCUUCUUAACCCUUUCCACAAAGACGUGGUUAGAACUGGUUAAUCCUCUUUUUACCUAGAAACUGACUUUUGUCAGACAGCCUCCACUAGGGAGAAUCAAAGUAAUAUGACUUGAUGAUACAGGUAUAUUUCUACAAGUUGGAAACCAUUAGCUUGCAUAGUUUAAAAGACAUGGAAUUAAAUUAUUUAUGAAAAUGCUAUUUUCUUAUUUGGAUUCUGUUAUUUACAUUGACUUUCAUCCUUCAUCUACAAGAACAGCAUAAUCAAAUGUUUAAUUUCUCUUCCCUCUACAGACGUUACAUACAUGUACAUACAAUUUCCAUCAAAUAAACAAUGUAACACUUUAUAUUAGGCUGUCCUACUUAUCCUUUGUAAGAAUAUGCUGUGAUAACAUAAGAACUAUGGACAAAAAAAAAAUUGCACU